AAGUUGUUCUAUUAAUGGGGAAGCACUAUCUUGUAAAAGUAACGUUUUUCAUGUUGCAAUUUC
rnacentral:tRNA from 1 species